rnacentral:rRNA from 1 species
AAUUUAUAAUAAGUAUUUUCUGCCCAGUGAUUAUUUAAAUGGCCGCGGUAUUUUGACUGUGCAAAGGUAGCAUAAUCAUUUGUCUAUUAAUUGUGGACUAGUAUGAAUGAAUUUACGGAAAUGGAAUUGUCUCCUUUUUUUUACUUUAACUUUCUUUUUAGGUGAAGAAGCCUAUAUUUUUAAAUAAGACGAGAAGACCCUAUUGAUCUUUAUUAUCAUUAUAAUAAUUUUUAUUUUUUUUUUAUUAUAUUUUAAUUUAGUUGGGGCAACUGAGGAGGAAUUUUUAUUCUCUUUUAUUUUUAUAUUGAUCCUUUUUUUUGAUUAUAAGAAAAAGUUACCAUAGGGAUAACAGCGUUAUUACUUUGGAGAGUUCUUAUUAAUAAAGUAGUUUGCGACCUCGAUGUUGGACUAGGAUUACCUGAAGGGGCAGUUUUUUUCUUGGUAGGUCUGUUCAACCUUUAAAAUCCU